GAUCCUGGCUCAGGAUGAACGCUAGCUACAGGCUUAACACAUGCAAGUCGAGGGGCAGCAUGGUCUUAGCUUGCUAAGGCUGAUGGCGACCGGCGCACGGGUGAGUAACACGUAUCCAACCUGCCGUCUACUCUUGGCCAGCCCUCUGAAAGGAAGAUUUAAUCCAGGAUGGGAUCAUGAGUUCACAUGUCCGCAUGAUUAAGGUAAUUUCGUUCGACGA
rnacentral:rRNA from 1 species